rnacentral:misc_RNA from 1 species
GAAAUGCGAUAAGUAAUGUGAAUUGCAGAAUUCAGUGAAUCAUCGAAUCUUUGAACGCACCUUGCGCUCCUUGGUAUUCCUCGGAGCAUGCCUGUUUGAGUAUCAUGAAAUCUUCAAAGUAAAUCUUUUGUUAACUCAAUUGGUUUCUACUUUGGUAUUGGAGGUCUUUGCAGCUUCACACCUGCUCCUCUUUGUUCAUUAGCUGGAUCUCAGUGUUAUGCUUGGUUCCACUCGGCGUGAUAAGUUAUCUAUCGCUGAGGACACUGUAAAAGGUGGCCAAGGUAAAUGCAGAUGAAGCGCUUCUAAUAGUCCAUUGACUUGGACAAUACUUUUAUGAUCUGAUCUCAAAUCAGGUAGGACUACCCGCUGAACUUAAGC